ACACAGGUGGUCGGGUAGAGAAUACCAAGGCGCUUGAGAGAACUCGGGUGAAGGAACUAGGCAAAAUGGUACCGUAACUUCGGGAGAAGGUACGCUCUUGAUGGUGAAGUCCCUUGCGGAUGGAGCUAUUGAGAGUCGCAGAUACCAGGUGGCUGCAACUGUUUAUUAAAAACACAGCACUGUGCAAAAUCGUAAGAUGACGUAUACGGUGUGACGCCUGCCCGGUGCC
rnacentral:rRNA from 1 species